CAGCUGCUGGGUCAGGAUGUGCAUGCCCCGCGCUCCGAGCGCGGCCACCGGUGGCAGGUCGCCCGCCGGAUCGAUGCCGGCGCGCCGGA
rnacentral:tRNA from 1 species